AGAGUUUGAUCAUGGCUCAGAGCGAACGCUGGCGGCGUGCUUAACACAUGCAAGUCGAGCGAGAAAGGGGACUUCGGUCCUUGAGUACAGCGGCGAACGGGUGCGUAACACGUGGGCAAUCUGUCUUCAAGAUGGGAAUAACCCAGCGAAAGUUAGGCUAAUACCCAAUAAGACCACGAAAAGCAAUUUAUGUGGUCAAAGAACGCCCCCUCUAGGGGCAUUCGCUAGAAGAGGAGCCCGCGACCUAUCAGCUUGUUGGUGAGGUAACGGCUCACCAAGGCAAAGACGGGUAGCUGGUCUGAGAGGAUGACCAGCCACACGGGGACUGAGACACGGCCCCGACUCCUACGGGAGGCAGCAGUGGGGAAUAUUGGGCAAUGGGGGAAACCCUGACCCAGCGACGCCGCGUGGGUGAUGAAGGCCUUCGGGUCGUAAAGCCUUGUCAAGAGGAAAGAAUGUUUUCGAAGCAAAUAGUUUCGAAAAGUGACGGUACCUCUGAAGGAAGCACCGGCCAACUCCGUGCCAGCAGCCGCGGUAAGACGGAGGGUGCAAGCGUUGCUCGGAAUCAUUGGGCGUAAAGGGUGCGUAGGCGGUCUCUUAAGUCUGACGUGAAAGUCCAGGGCUCACCCUUGGAAGUGCGCCAGAAACUGGAAGACUAGAGUACCGGAGGGGAGAGUGGAAUUCCUGGUGUAGCGGUGAAAUGCGUAGAUAUCAGGAGGAAUACCGGUGGCGAAAGCGACUCUCUGGACGGUAACUGACGCUGAGGCACGAAAGCAUGGGGAGCAAACAGGAUUAGAUACCCUGGUAGUCCACGCCGUAAACGAUGGACACUAGGUGUCGAGGGUAUCCACUCCCUCGGUGCCGCCGCUAACGCAUUAAGUGUCCCGCCUGGGAAGUACGGCCGCAAGGUUAAAACUCAAAGGAAUUGACG
rnacentral:rRNA from 1 species